UUUGCAUGAUCAAGACUUGCUGUGUUUGCUUUGUUGUUUCUCUGUGAUGUGUUUAUUUGCGAUAGUUUAAGGGUUCUUGCUACAGAUGCACAUGAUAUACUCCAGCUCUAAAGUGCGGUAUUUUGGUCACAUGCAAAUAUGGAAAACAUUCCUGUUUGAAAAGCAUCAGCCCCCAACUGCCAACUCACCCCCCCCCAUGACCAAACCCAUAUUAAUCUCUCAAAAUGAUGUAUUUAUGUAUUUGGUUUUAUUUGGAAGGCAGAGGGAGACACACAUGUACACACACAUGCACAUGGCGCACACACACACAAUCUUCAUCCAUUGGUUCAGUCUCCGUAUGCCUACAAUAGCCACGGCUGGUCACAGGCAAAGCCAAGAGCCAGGAACUCCAUCUGUGUCUUCUAUGAGGGUGGCAGCAACCCAGCCCCUGGGCCAUCAUCCACUGCCUCCCAGGCACAGCAGCAGGGAGCUGGGUGGGAUGCCCAGAGUAACCAGGGUGGCGCUGGCACUCCUGUGUGAGAUGUGGGCAUCUCGAGAGGUGGCUCCACCCCCUGUGCCACGGCAGUCACCCCUGGGUUUCUCCUUAGCAAUCUACUUCUUUGUGCUAUUAAUUCACACAGUCUGCUCGGACUUUGAGCAGAGUAACAUAUGUUUCGUCAGUUAUUUGUAGUGUGUCUGUAUUAGUAGCUGUAAAUGGAGUUUAUAUCAGAAUACAUCUAAUUAUACAGGCUCACCUAUAAUAUAUUUCAAACUUUUCUUGCUAAAUGUGGAUAAUGGUUACUAUAUUGGAUAGUCCAUAUAUAGAAUAUUCCCAUUAUCAGAGAAAGCUCUAUUGGGCAUUGCUUCUGUGUUGGUAUAGAGAAAAGUGUAACAAUUUAUAUGAAUGAAAAUGCUAAUGAAGUCACCUGUGACUGUGGACUACAUAUUAUGUUCCGCUUUUAUGCAGAUCAAAGUAGUGUAUUCCCAGUUUGUCAUCUGGAGGUUGGCAGAUAAAGUUUGAAUGUAGUGAGAAGUGUGGCUCCAAUGUUACUAUCCAGAGUUAUCAGACUUUUUCUUUUCUAAUUAUAAAAGUAAGAUCUGUCAUUAUAAAACUUUUUGGAAUAAUAGUUCCCUUUACCUGCUAAAAAAUUCCAGUUUUAAAAACUCAAGUGUAAAAAGCAAAAAGUACUAGAGGUAAACCUGUGUGAGUUUCACAACAGAUUUCCGAGAACAAGACCUUUCUGUAUCUGGGGUCAACUGGGUUAAUAAAUGUAUUUCUCAGGGAGCAGUUCCACUGGGGGAAGAGUGAGUGGAUUCUGGAAGAAACAGGAGCUAUGUGUUUAAAUGUUAGAGUCCAGGAGAAUGUAAACUGCUUUCAUCCGUUUAUUUAGCUAACAACUGUCGAUAUAUUCUUGAGACACAAAAAUCGAGUAAGACAGCUUUGUUGCCCUCAGGAAGUAGUCUUAUGCUGGGGCAGAGGUGCAGGUAAGGAGAUCCGUGGUUUGGCAGGUGUGGAGAGAAUGAGACGGAGUGGAGAGGAGGGCCGUGUACACCUGACUGCAGGUCAGAGAGUCUUCCUGGGGAACGUGGUGCUUAGGGAACUUGGAAUACAUAUGCAGGACCAGAUAAAGGGCAUCCCAGGCAGGAGGCAGGACGUGUGAACUCCCAGUGGUGUUAAUAUGGUAAUUAAUUGCUGUCCACACAGUAGGCUGGCAGGCAACAAAGGUAGAGGGCCAGAGAGUGGAAGGGCAGGGCAGGCUUUGAGGUGCCCUUGGACUUACCCCCUUAAAGCACUGGGGAGUUAGUGAGUCUUGAGCAGAGGUGUGACGUGAGCAGAGGUCUGACGUGAGCAGAGGUCUGACGUGAGCAGAGGACUGACGUGAGCAGAGGUGUGACGUGAGCAGAGGUCUGACGUGAGCAGAGGUGUGACGUGAGCAGAGGUGUGACGUGAGCAGAGGUGUGACGUGAGCAGAGGUGUGACGUGAGCAGAGGUGUGACGUGAGCAGAGGACUGACGUGAGCAGAGGUGUGACGUGAGCAGAGGUGUGACGUGAGCAGAGGUGUGACGUGAGCAGAGGUGUGACGUGAGCAGAGGUGUGACGUGAGCAGAGGACUGACGUGAGCAGAGGUGUGACGUGAGCAGAGGUGUGACGUGAGCAGAGGUGUGACGUGAGCAGAGGUGUGACGUGAGCAGAGGACUGACGUGAGCAGAGGUGUGACGUGAGCAGAGGUGUGACGUGAGCAGAGGUGUGACGUGAGCAGAGGUCUGACGUGAGCAGAGGUCUGACGUGAGCAGAGGUCUGACGUGAGCAGAGGUGUGACGUGAGCAGAGGACUGACGUGAGCAGAGGACUGACGUGAGCAGAGGUCUGACGUGAGCAGAGGUGUGACGUGAGCAGAGGUCUGACGUGAGCAGAGGUGUGACGUGAGCAGAGGUGUGACGUGAGCAGAGGUGUGACGUGAGCAGAGGACUGACGUGAGCAGAGGUCUGACGUGAGCAGAGGUCUGACGUGAGCAGAGGUGUGACGUGAGCAGAGGACUGACGUGAGCAGAGGUGUGACGUGAGCAGAGGACUGACGUGAGCAGAGGACUGACGUGAGCAGAGGUGUGACGUGAGCAGAGGUGUGACGUGAGCAGAGGUCUGACGUGAGCAGAGGUGUGACGUGAGCAGAGGUCUGACGUGAGCAGAGGUGUGACGUGAGCAGAGGACUGACGUGAGCAGAGGUGUGACGUGAGCAGAGGUGUGACGUGAGCAGAGGUCUGACGUGAGCAGAGGUGUGACGUGAGCAGAGGUGUGACGUGAGCAGAGGUGUGACGUGAGCAGAGGACUGACGUGAGCAGAGGACUGACGUGAGCAGAGGUGUGACGUGAGCAGAGGUGUGACGUGAGCAGAGGUGUGACGUGAGCAGAGGUCUGACGUGAGCAGAGGUGUGACGUGAGCAGAGGUGUGACGUGAGCAGAGGUGUGACGUGAGCAGAGGUCUGACGUGAGCAGAGGUGUGACGUGAGCAGAGGACUGACGUGAGCAGAGGACUGACAUGAGCAGAGGUGUGACAUGAACAGAUAUGCAAUUUAUUUUUUUUUUAUCUUUGACAGAGUGGACAGUGAGAGAGAGAGAGACAAAGGUCUUCCUUUUGCCGUUGGUUCACCUUCCAAUGGCCACCACGGCCAGCGCACCGCGCUGAUCCGAUGGCAGGAGCCAGGUGCUUCUUCCUGGUCUCCCAUGGCGUGCAGGGCCCAAGCACCUGGGCCAUCCUCCACUGCACUCCCGGGCCACAGCAGAGAGCUGGCCUGGAAGAGGGGCAACCGGGACAGAAUCCGGCGCCCCGACCGGGACUAGAACCUGGUGUGCUGGCGCCGCAAGGCGGAGGAUUAGCCUAGUGAGCCGCGGCGCCGGCCAGAUAUGCACUUUAAAAAAUUGUUCGGCAACAGUGUGGACGAGAGAUUGCAUAUGAGUAGCUAAAGGUGAGGGCAUGAGAUAGAAGAUUGCUGUAACCGCAGGGAGAAGCGAUUAGGUAUAGACUGAAGUGCUGAGUGUUACCAGCAGAGGGUGCAUGAAAGAGCUUACGGAGGGGGAACGGGCAAACGCUGGAAGAAUAUGGGUUUGCCAGAGUUUGGUGUGAGGCGCUAGAGUUUUGUAACUAGAGUUUUCUAUCAGUGUGAGGGUUAGAGUAAGACCAAGUGUGUGCAGAAAGACGAAGUUUUCAGUUUGGUUCACACUGAAUUUGUCAAGCCCACGGUACAGACAAGUGUGGGUAGAGUUGUGAUUCAGGCCUGGAAUUCGGCAGAGGUCUGGGCUGAGGAAAUCCAUGUGGAUGUCUCUGAGUGCAGCUGUGGCAUUGACACUGUGGGGGUGGUGAAGUUACCACUGCUAACAGCUGGCCAGGAACAGCCCUGAGGAAUAUGAGCAUUUAAAGGGCCAGAAAAGACGACGAGGGCGUACUAAGAGCAGAUCUAGGAGGGGGCGCUGACAUAGAAGCCCACAGAAGUGAGAAUCCCAGGAAGCAGCAGCAAGUGUGUGACUACAGACAGGACAGUGUCCACUGACUCGGCAGCCUCCAAGCUGGUGGCUUCCAGACUGGGGAGGCUGCAGCCAUGUUUAAGAACGCUCAGGAACGUAUGGGGGACGAGGCGGCGGCAGCGGCAGCGAGCGGAGGCCUCUCAGGCCAAGGAGUUUGAUUUGCAGAGAAGGCGAAAGUUCUAAGUAGGGGUCGGUGGAGUGUUGCUUUUUUGAUUGAAGAAAUAUCCUUGCCUUUACACUCCUAAGCACAAGAAUAGAGUGGGAAGAGGUGAAGAAAAAGGAGAGAGGAAAGCAUGAGUGGUUUGGUAAGGCCCACGCCAAUAGAAGUGUGUGGGAGGGAUCUUAGCCCUGGGCUGUCCCAGGACAGGAAGGGACACCUUCCUUGAUGCAGGAGAAAUAGAGAAUAGGUGCUACAAUCUUGCUUUCAUCUGCAAGUUACGGAAGUUCUCUCCUGUCCCUGCUACUCUCAGGGAAGUGCUGAGAAGGAGGUGGGUGGUGGCGGGGGUGGGGUUGGGGGAAACAUGAGAGAGCAGGUUCAGGGGGAUGAUCAAGCGGCUCUGAAGCCCUGAGACCAGGGAUCUGUGGGGACCAAGAAUUUGGGUGACUGGACGGAUUCCCGAGCCGUGACGUAGUGACAGGUGUCUCCACAACUGGGCUUCUUGGCAAGUGCAUUAUGAACGAAAACAAGGGCCAAGGAAGCAACAGGAAGUAAUUAACAAGGCGCUGAGAAAAACAGAAUGGCCAGCGAGCGGAAUUCCCAGUGGGGUUAGCAUCUUCAGGGGCCAAACAGUAACAUCCCUGUCCUCUGCCUUUGCAUUCGGACCGAAUCAUGCAGUCGUUCCUAGGAACCCGGCAGAUGGGGAUGGAAAGUGUCAGUUUUAUGCAUGUCGCAGGAGGGAGGGACACAGUUUCGAUGCAGGGUCACAACCUGACUUCCUGGUGCCACAGACUGGACUCGUCCACUGGAAGUGGCUUCUCCAGGGCAGAGACCACCGCAGUGAGCUUCCUGUGGGAAGCCGCAGCAGAGGCGUGCCUGGAGGACAGCUGCUGGCAGAGGGG